AGAGCGAACGCUGGCGGCAGGCCUAACACAUGCAAGUCGAACGGACUCUUCGGAGUUAGUGGCGGACGGGUGAGUAACACGUGGGAACGUGCCUUUAGGUUCGGAAUAGCUCCUGGAAACGGGUGGUGAUACCGAAUGUGCCCUUCGGGGGAAAGAUUUAUCGCCUUUAGAGCGGCCCGCGUCUGAUUAGCUUUGGUUGGUGAGGUAAUGGCUCA
rnacentral:rRNA from 1 species